rnacentral:rRNA from 1 species
AGAGUUUGAUCCUGGCUCAGAACGAACGCUGGCGGCGUGCCUAACACAUGCAAGUCGAACGGAGAUAAGGGGCUUGCUCCUUAUUUUAGUGGCGCACGGGUGAGUAACGCGUGGAUAAUCUACCUUGGAAUCUGGGAUAACAUUUCGAAAGGGGUGCUAAUACCGGAUAAGACCACGAGCUCGUUGGAGUUUGCGGUAAAAGGGGGCCUCUGUAUAUGCUUCUGUUUCAAGAUGAGUCCGCGUACCAUUAGCUAGUUGGCAGGGUAAUGGCCUACCAAGGCGACGAUGGUUAGCUGGUCUGAGAGGAUGAUCAGCCACACUGGAACUGAGACACGGUCCAGACUCCUACGGGAGGCAGCAGUGGGGAAUUUUGCGCAAUGGGGGAAACCCUGACGCAGCAACGCCGCGUGAGUGGUGAAGGCCUUCGGGUCGUAAAGCUCUGUCAGAGGGAAAGAAGUGUAUGGC